UAAUUAUUUACGCUAUUUCUGCUAGAGUUACUAAUGCUCUUUUGUUUCUGGUUUUGUUUUUCCUUUCCUUCACUGAGCCGAGGGUCGAUUGGAAACAGCCUCUCUGCCCUUUCGGGUAGGGUAAGGUCCGUCUAUAUAUUAUCCUCCCCAGACCCCACUUUGUUGGACUAUACUUGGUAGUUGUUGUUGUUGUUGUAUAGGACUUAGCAAAACUCUCGAGACAUUUUUACUAUUUAAAGGAUGAUGAAUUAAAAAAAUAUGAAAGAUUGUUAGAGUAUAGAUCCAUCAAUUAUUUGACACCAACGUAAAAGAAACCAAGUAAAAUCAAAGAAAAUAUAAAUCACAUUGUAUUAAUGUUUCACUAAGCCGGGACUCAAAAAUAAAGUUUAUAUUAAAUAUACAAAAAGAUAAAUUUAAAUUGUAUGAAAGGAAACACAUCCAAUACAAUGUAAUUUGCUACUCAUAAUCGCUAAAAUACUUUAUGUCUUGCUGAUAAAGAUACUUGAAAUAAUUUAUUUUAAGUAUAAGUAACAUAAUAGAUUUAAGGAUUUAGUAUUUUGAGUUUAAUUACUUGUUGGCUUGUAACAAUUUUCAUAAUUCCAAGACCCAAUGAAAAAUUUAAUGUUUUAUUAGUUUUAAGCUUACUAUAUAAAUAUAUUUUUUCCGUAUAAAUUUAUUCGGUAUGGUUCGGUAUUUUUUCGGUUUAUUUUUAUUAUAAAAAAAAUCUACCCUAAUUUUCGGUAUGGUUAUAGAUUAUAUAAAAACCUAUGAUUUCUUUAAAAGAAACCUACAAAUUGGUUCGAUGAGGUACGGUUCGGUCGGUUUAGUCAGUUUUUAGAUAUCCAUUGACACCCUUAUAUAUAUGCAUACAUACUAUUAUAUAGUUUCGGCUAAACCGUAUGGAUGGCGCAACACCACAUCCCUUACACAUAGGUCUACCCCUAAAUCCAUAUAGGAAAUGGGCAUGUGCAGCUUACCUUCAUAAGGAAGCAUACUGUAGCACACCCUCCCAAACAGAAAAUCAUAAAAGAGUUAAAAAUUUUGAAAUAGAAGAGGAACCAUUACUUAUGGUUAGGCUAAGGUUUCACAUAUUGGUUUUGAUAAUAAUAAAUCAACGUUAGUUUUAAUCAAAGAAUAUUUAGUUGUGUUAAAUUUAUUUUUGCACAUGUUUAUUUAGUUGAAAAGGAUUUGGUUGGACUUUGCUUAUAGAAGAAAUAAUGAACUCAAGGAGUUGAAUGAAAAUCUAUGAAAAAGAAUAGAAGUCUUGCAACUAAGGAAAUAAGUAAGGAUGGGAAGAGGACAAGUCUGUCGAAAAUCAAGGAAGAAGAAAUCACAGAGGAAUCAGGAACGAGACUACAAAGAAGUGCUUAUAUUAAGGAUUUCUAGCUCGCUAAAUCCUUGGCCAGAAUAUUGUGCAAGAAGACUUGGAAGUAAUAUCAUUGAUCACACCAAAGAAGGAAUCAAAUCAGAAGUGGCUAAUUAGCUCUUUAUAUGAUUUCCUUCUACAAUGAGAGACGGUUUACUCUACUAUAUAAAGAGAAGGUUCAAUCACUUGUAGGGAAGAUCAUUCACUGAAACAAAAGCAAUAUAGCUCUUCUUUUCUGACUCGUAUUCUUGUUUAUUAAUUUAUUCAGUCUUUACAGUUCUCAGUUCUCAUACUGUUAUCACCUCGAGGGUACUUUCAUUCAAGGCUGAAGCUCUGUAUGCAUGCUCGUUUGGAUUAUUUACAUCUCAAUUCUACCUCUUACUUAUCAAUUGAUAUUGGGAGAAAUCACAUAUCCUUAAAACAACAUUAUAAAUUUUAUUGGUAUCCAAAGUUUAGGGUACACGGUUUUGCACCCACUGUGGGGCUAAGGAUAGUAGUGAUCAUUCAAUACUGAUUCUGAUGACACACACUACAUUAUGCUUGGUCUUGUCAAGUAUUUUUGUUUUCAGGAUAAAAUAUCUCAAACUCACAAACAGCACCCACAGAUGGUGAUAAUGGCCUCGGAUUCCAUGGAGACGACAAUGUAAUCGCUCCAGGGGUCGAGGUGCCACAAGUUGAUCUCGAGAGCAACCUUGUGGACGUAAGUUCACAAAUUGCUCUAAACGCGAACCUGGGAGCGGACCCAAAGGGAGUAUAUGCAGAGAAGGCUGAUAUGGUGGUCGAGGAUCAUAGGUCAGAGGAGAUGGAGGAUUCAAUCUCCAAAUGAUAUUCGAGAUGCCACAGGCUCAACAAGCCACUAUUUUCCAACUACAAAAUCAGCAUCGAACGACGAGCGGUGUUGAACCGGAGGCCAGCCGCUGGAUCGAGCCAGUGCCAGAAAGGUCGAAUACUAGUGAAUAGGGGACUGACCCUACAAUAAUGAAGUUGCUCGAGGAUCUCACCAAACGAAUUGAAUCGGGGGAGAAGAAUAUUGAGGAACACUACAAAAUGGCAGAAGCGCACAACUCCCAAGUUGAUCAAAUUCCGGGGGCACCACCGAUAGUGGAAGGACUAGAUUCUAAAUGUUCAUGCAAAGACCCUUCCCCAUGGUGUGGCUCCGAAGCCAAUCACCAAGAAGUUUUGUAUGCCUAAGAUCCCCAAGUAUAAAGGGAAGAUCGAUCUGAAUGAACACAUCACCUCGUAUAUGUGCUCCAUCAAAGGAAAUGAUUGUUAGAUGACGAAAUUGAAUUCGUACUGUUGAAAAAGUUCGAGGAGACUCUAUGGAAGGGUUCCUUAAUAUGGCACCAUAAAUGACCCCCUAAUUUUAUUAAUUUGUUUUCUAUGAUUGCAUAUUAUUUUGUAAAGGCACAAACUGAGACAUUAAAAUUGCAACGAGGAAGUCGAACCUUUUCAAGGUAAGGAAGAAAAAUAACGAGGUGCUCAGGGAAUUCGUAUCUCGAUUCCAAGCGAAGAGAAUGGAUUUACAUCCGGUCACCGAUGACUGGGCUGUUCAAGCUUUCUCCCGAGGUCUCAACACUCGGAGUUCCAUAGCUUCAAAGUAUUGGAAGCAAAUGUUAAUUGAGUACCCGGCUGUCACUUGGGCAGACAUACAUAAUCGAUAUUAGUCGAAAGUUAGGGUCAAGGACGAUCAACUUAGGGCUCCUUCGGGUCUGUUUACCCUAGCAAGACCAUGGGUAGGAUCAAAUGUGAUAGGUUUUAAAUGUUAUAGCAUUAUGAUUUGAUGAUCCAACAAACUUACUAUUAAGAACCAGAUAGGGAACCUGACCUACUCGAAUUAUACUGCAAGCUUAACGAAUUCCAGCUAAAUGUGAACUGCUACAACUUCAGUAGCUAGGAAUCCCAACGAGGAUCUGAUACCCUUGUGGUUCCCUCAUCACUGUACAACUCAAUUGGUCACAGCUAGAAAUGAAGUGACUGACUGCACUAAUUCUGCCACACUGCACUAUCUCCACCGCCCACAAGUUAGUAAAAGUCUUUGUAACUAGGAAGUUAGUGUCUUGUGGUAAGAGUAAAACAAGUUAGUUGAGUAAAUUCUUUGUAAUGGAUUCAUUGCAAAUCGGCUUGUAAUAAGACUUUUACAAGUUAGUGAAGUUGAAAGCCUACAGGUGUAGGUCGAAUUUUUCUAUCCCUUGUGUGGGAUUUUUCCACGUAAAAAUUCUCUGCCCUAUUUACGUAGUAUUUUAUUAGCAUUCUCAGCAGAAUCUUGUAGAGGGCCAAGUACGCUACUGUUUGGUGGACUUAUACAAACUAACAAUUGGUAUCAGAGCAGGCUCCUCCUAUCAAGCUAUCACCUAGGAAAGAUCCUCAUGGCUUCUCCACCAAAUUUUGAAGAAGGUCAAUCAACAUACCGACCAUCCAAGUUCAAUGAACAACACAAUGGGUGGUGAAAAACAAGAAUGCAUGAUUUUAUCAUGGCUAAGGAUUGUGAGCUAUGUGAUAUCAUAUGCGAUGGUCCUUAUGUUCUAACCAAGGUACUAGAGGAAUUUCCAUUUUCAAUAGCAAAAACCAGCAAAUAGUACAUUGAAGCGGAUAAGAAAGUUAUGGAUAUGAAUUUUCAUGCCAAGAGAAUUCUAGUAUAUGGAAUAGGACCUGAAGAGUACAAUAGAAUCGCCACCUGCGACAUUGCUAAGGAUAUAUGGGAAGCUUUGCAAAUAGCUCAUGAGGAAACUGCACAAGUAAAACAGUCUAAGCUUGAUAUGCUCACUACCGAGUAUGAACUCUUCAAAAUGAGGGACGAUGAAUCCAUUCAAGAUGUGCACACAAGAUUCACUUACAUCAUAAAUGAGUCACACUCACUUGGUGAAACUAUUCCCAAAAACAAGCUAGUAAGGAAAAUCCUCAGCUUUAUGCCUAGAUCUUGCGAAAGCAAAGUGAAUGCUAUUACUGAAUCAUUGGACUUACAGGAGAUGACAAUAGAAGAGUUGCUAAGAAACUUGAAGACCUGUGAGUUGAAGAGAAAGAUUGACAGUGAAAUAAGAGAAUCAAAGAAGGAAAAGAACCCGGUACUUAAAGAUGAUAACAAUGAUUCAAGUGAGGAAGACAAUGAAAUGGCUUACUUAACCAAAAUAUUUCAGAAUAUGGUCAGAAGAAAUGGAGAAAUGCUAAAAAGGGACAACUCUAACAGACCAAAAAACUGUGAUCUUUGUUACAAGUGUAGAAAGCCUGGACACUUCAUGAAAGACUGUCCUCUCUUGAAGCAACAAUUCUCCAAGAUCUACUAUGAGAGAACAGCUAAGACGAACCCGAUUCCUUUCAAGGAAUUCAAGAGAAAAAGAUCCGCUGACAAUUUGAUGAGGCAGGCUCUUGCAGCAUGGGGGGAUUCCUCUAGUGAGUCUGAAGAUGAACCAGGUACUAGUGAUAGUUCCAUGAUGGCAGUUGAAGGCGAUGAGACUGGAUAUGACUCAACUUUUGCUUUGAUGGCUUAAUUAGAUGAUGAUCAAGACAAUGGCACCAAAAAUGUAAAUUUUAGGGAUGGUCAGAGAAAUAUGAAAUCCUUUUCUGCAAAAAUCAAAACUCAUGUCUUUACCUAAUGUAUUAAUCACUGCUUUUCAUAGUCUUGGGGAGAAUAGGGAUUCUUUGACAUUAGAAUAAGGAGAAUCUCAACAAACUAGAGACAGCUUAGUGGUUGUAGUUAGUGACCAUAAGAAAACCAUUGAAAUCAUCAUAAAAGAAAAGAAUGAUUUGUUGACAGAAAUUGCAGACAAAAGGGAAACAAUAGUGAAACAGUGGACUAAGUCAAAACCUGAAAAUUCUGGAAAGGGAAAGAAGAUAGCCAGUGAGGAACACAUUAGGCUUGAAAAUGAGGUGAAGGUUAUAAUAUCUAUGAUGUGUGCUGAAAUUGAGAACAACAAGCUACUAUAAAAUAAUAUGGAAAGAGUAAUGAAUGAUCUUGAAAAGCCCCUAAAGUGGACCUAGUCCUCAGAAGCUACCACUACCUUGCAUACUAAUGAUUGUGAAAACGGGCAAGGAAUAGGGUUCCAAAGGGAGAAAGCUCCUCACUAUCCUCAUAGUAAGUAUGUCACUGUCUUUGAUAACUAGUUGUGUACUAGAUAUGGGAACACUGGGUGCUUCAAGGAAGAUGUCCAUUCCAAGAAUCAAUCGAUUCAAAAAACAAAGUGUUUGCUGAAUUGGUGACUACAAAAGAGGAACCAGGUUCCACUCACAAAAAUGCACAUUACCUACAUGGACUAAGAGAACUCUUAUUCAUCCUCUUAUCUACUACAAGGAGCCCAAAAUUUAUUGGGUUCCUAAAACUAAAUCUUAAUCUCAUGUGCAUGGAACAGCGAAAGAAAGAGGUCAACAAUGGUUCAUAGAUAGUGGGUGUUCAAAGCACAUGACUGGGAACCCCACAGACUUUCUUUCACUAAAAUCGCUUCAAGGAAUGAGUUUAUCCUUUGGAAAUGGUAAAAAAGGGUACAUUCUCGGAGGGUGAAAAGUUGGGAAGAUACUCACUCAUUCUAUUGAAAUUGCGUACUAUGUCAAUAGCCUUAAGUACAGUCUCUUUAGUGUCUCUCAAAUCUGUGAUAAAGGAAAUAAGGUGGAAUUCUUGUCCAGAAUAUCUAUAGUCACUAAUCUUGUGACCCGUGAAAUAGUUCUUGUGGCCAAAAGAUACAAGAACAUCUAUGUCGCUGAUGUCGAGUCCUUACAGAGUGGUGAUCUGAGUUUUCUGAAAGUUGUUGAUGAUAAUAUUGAACUAUGGCACAGAAGAGUGGGCCGUGCAAGUUUUUCUCUUCUGAACAAACUAAUUCAGAAGGACCUGGUCCAUGGUCUACCUAUGUCACAAAUCAAGAUACAAAAAAUCUGUGAUGCAUGUGCUAGAGGAAAACAUGUAAAGUCCUCGUUUAAGUCUAAAAUAGAUGAGAGCACCUCAAAGCCACUAGAGCUUCUACAUAUGGAUAUGUGUUGACCUAUGAGAGUGCAAAGCAGAGGAGGAAAAGGUACAUGUGAGCACCUCAAAGCCUCGUUUUAAAUGUUCUUUCCUUACGUUUUGAUGAUCUAACAAACUUACUUUUAAGAACCAGAUAGGGAUCCUGACCUACUCAGAUUAUACUGCAAGCUUAACGAAUUUCAGCUAAAGGUGAACUGCUACAGCUUCAGGAGCUAGGAACCGCAAUAAGGAUCUGAUACUCUUAUGGUUCCCUCAUCACAGCACAAGUCAAUUAGUCAUAGCUUGAAAUAAAGCGACGUACUGCAUUAUUUCUGUCGUACUACACUGUUUCCAGCGCACACUCAUUCUCUAACCAAAUAAAGUGCUCACAUAAUUUCAAGUGGUGUGAUCAAGGUGUACCUACAAUGAAUUUAUAUAAAACAUCACUUGAAUUUUUCAGUUUCUCAUUCAAGCUUCUUGCCAAAACAGAGAAAUCAAUCCUCACAAGCUGGUAGAACAAAGUUGAAUGCAACUAUGCACAUGUUCCUAAAAGAUAGCUUGUUGUUGUCCUAGUUGAGUUGUAACUUUGUAAUGGUACUUAUUAUAUCUCCUAAACUGCUUAGCUAGACGCGUUUGAUUAGGAAUCCUCUUGAAAAUCCGUAAACUCCUUGGGUUUAUGUUGUGACUAGGUUUAGUCAAAAGCAUGUCUUUAUAACUGUAGAGUUAAUAAGUUUCUUGUGGUGAGAGGAUCAGAAGUUAGUAAAAGUCUUGGUAACUAGGAAGUUACAAAGUGGCUUGUGGUAAGUAUACCACAAGUUUAGUAAAUUAUUUACAAUAGAGUCAUUACAAAGUGGCUUGUAGUAGGUUUUUAUACAAGUUAGUGAAGCUGAAAGCCUACAUGUGUAGGUCGUCAUUUUUUUAUCCCCUUGUGUGGUAUUUUUUCACGUAAAAAUCCUCUGCCUUAUCUACGUACUAUUUUAUUACGAUUCUCAACAGAAUCUUGUAUAUGACCAGGCACUCUACUAUAUGGCGGACUCAUACAAACUAACAAAAAGGGAUAUCGAUUGAGAACCAAGGUCGAAUAUAGAUCUCUAUGAACCGUACAACGAAGAUCGAAAAGGCAGCGGUUCUAGGCGAAGCUUCACGCAAAUGGGAGGAGAACUAAUCGAGGUCAAAAUUCAUGGGGGCUUGAUGAGGAGGAAGAUCACAUUAAAUAUCCAUAAUUUGAAUAAAGGUACAACCACAUUCCAAUUCUUUCUAUUUUUUGACUAACACAUGCAGGUGAUAGGAAGGGAUCGACACGAAGAUUUGGAUCAUAAAGCACGUGUUUCACUCUUGUCCCCUUUGGAUCUGAGCUUUUAUGCUUUUUCUCUUACGCAUAUUUACUUAACUGUUUCGGGUUCAAUCUCAAAUUCGGGAUUCGACUCGAGCUCAUUUGACCCUUAAGUUAUUUAUAGUUGCCCCUUAGGCUCUUACGCAUUCGGUCGAGACGAUCAUUUAUAUGGGCUGGCGAUAGUGGAUCUUAUGCAUUGGGUCAAUACGACCAUCUAUAUGGGAUGACAACAGUUGCUCUUAUGUAUUGGGUGUGUACGACAUCUAGUAUGGCUGGCGACAGUGGCUCUUAUGAGUUGGGUCGGUACGACCUCUAGCAUAGGCUUUAUUUUUCCUUCGUUAAGGACUUUUUUAAAUUGUGUUUGCCUGAGUCAUCGAUGGUUCAAUAAAAAACUCGAUUGUGAGUCAUUUUGUGGGGGUGAAUGAGCACCUUGGGAGGUUUUGGCUUGGUUGCUAAGUAUCUCGAAGCCUUUAGUUUAGAGCUGAAUAUGGUCGAAGCUCUUUUGCCUAUAUCGAGGGUAGCAUAUUUAACCUGUUCUUUUCAAAGUAUUUCAAAGUAAUUGAAGGCCUGUGAUUUUAUAGCCACGGUCGGGCGUCCCUAGUUGCGUUAGUUUGGUUGGUGCAACCUAGUGACCAUAGUCAUUGUGUUUGGACGGAGACUUUCAGUUCCUGAGUGAAGUAGUUUCGCCGUCUAUAUCGAGGGUAUGCCUUUUUGGGGUGUUACAAGUUCGAUAUAUAUUCUUAACUUUAAUAUCGAGUUUAUGCCUUUUGCAAGGUUUCAAAUGUUUUCAUACCUUUGAGGCCUUACAGUUUUAGUUACUUGGUACAAGUAUGGUUCAUGCCUUGCUUGAAGUCAUACAGUUUCGGUCACUUGGUACAAGUGUGGUUCAUACCUUGCUAGAGGUCUUACUAUUUUGGUCACUUGGGACAUGUGUGGUUCAUGCCUUUCUUGAGGUCAUACUGACCCAAUGCAUAAGCGCCACAGCCGCCAGCCCAUGUUAGAGGUCGUACGGACCCAAUGCGUAAGAGCCACUAUUGACAGCCCACAUUAGAGGUCGUACCAACCCAAUGUGUCACGACCCAAACUGGAGGUCCAUGACUAGCACCCAGCCAUACUUGCCGAGCAAGAACGUAUAUUUUAUCUAACCUUCCUUAUUAUCUUUUAGGGCUGACGAGAUCAAUAUAAAUAGUAGACAUGGAUAGUGGACAACAACAAUGAAAGAUGAUGGCAUGAACAUACAUAACAUGGGAUGAUCAGACAAUCAAGAAAUUAUAUAUAAGGUACGAGCUACCAUGAAAUACUAUACAACAAAAAUCAGCCGACAAGGCAUACCCAACUAUACAUGAGUUGACACCUGUCUAUGAGCUUUAAUUGAACACAAAUGCUGCAACAUUUCCAUAACAGGGCCCCGACAUUGCCCAUAAUAUCUAUAGCAAAAAUUCAUACCAAGACCAUGUCAUGUCCGGAGAAAGGAUCUAACUAAUAACCGCUGAACUGAGCAGCCUACUGUGGUGGGGGAUCUGGGUCUACCCGUCUAUCAGGACCUGCAAUAUAAUAUACAGCGUCCACAAAAAAAGGACGUCAGUACGAAUAAAGUAUUGAGUAUGUUAGGUAGGAAAGCAUACCUACGAGCAGUAAUGUAAACAGGGAUAGAGAAUAUACAACCGGUAACAUUUGGGUACCUCUGAGGGCAACUGACAUGAAAUACAUGAUACAUACAUAUAUAUACAUAAGCGUUUAAAACAUACGCAUCACAUGCAUCAUCAUCAUGUAAAAACGUAAUAGGCUUGGUAAAAAUGUACUCGGCCAUUAUAAGGCUCGGUAAAAUUGUACCCGACCACGUGGAGCUUGGUAAAACCCAACUGAUCAGUAGUUGCACAAUAGGUGUCGUACCCGGCCGACUAUAGUUCGGCUCGAUAGAUCAAAAUAGAUUCAUAUAAAUAAUGCAUGCUCGACUCAUGGAAUCACGUUCAAAACCUUUCGGAGUGACGUAAGGUAGGUAUCCCCUGUACACAUUUUAGGAAUAACUAUUCAUCAUAAAUCUUGUAAGAAUUAGGAAGUACCAACAACAUUGAUAACUUAAGAAUAAGAGAAGCAACAUCAACAUCAAUCAUUCUAUAAGAAGGGAAUCAAUGUAAGUAUUGCUAGAUUCGAAGAGUGGAGUAUCUUUGGAAGCUCAUUCAUUACAUUAUGUACAAUCGGAGUCGUGCAAAAGAGGUAAUGGGAUAACCUCACAUACCUUGUAUAUAUUUCCCAGCCUCAAGUUAUGCAAUUUCACAACUUUUUAGUCUACAAUAAGAGAAAUGAUACUAUCGUUAUCGUUUAGGCGUUGUAACUAAAUAACAUCAAUGUUAAUAAUAUUGAAACUCCCAAAACAUCCCACCAACCGAUAACAUUAGUACCAAGCCUUUCGAUAUAUAUUUCACAAGUUCUAGCUUCAAUGACUAGGCCGCAACUUGGAUAAUCUUAAAUACAUGUAGAGUAAGAUGUUGCUUACCUUUAGACAGAAAGAAAAACUCCAAUUUGAACUUAAUUUACCACGAAAUAUCCCUUCAAUGUUGCCACAACAACACGGAUGCAAAACUAGCAAUCAAUUAGGGUGUUUCGGUACUAGAAUCACUUUAGAAGGCAUGCACUCACCUAAGGUUGAUAUUAAGAACUUGAGGAAGUACUUACAGAACAUAAACCCCUUAAAGAAACCACCCACACUAGCUGGAACAAAAAAAAUGAGCAACAACAAGAAACUUACUAGCGCCACGAGAACACUUGAUUUGUGUUGUUUGCUCUUUGUUUGGGUCAUGAAUCUUGAGAGAACCUUGAGAGGGUGUUUCCAGGAUUCUAAGGCCUAAUAUACUGAAAAAGUGACUUAAACGGGUUGGAGGUAUCAUAUAUAUAUAUAUAUAUGUCUUAAACCGUCUAAGUGGCCCCAUAGAGAGCUGCUUGGCGCAGUCUCGCGAAAACAUGAAUAUCUCUCUAACUCGAGAUUGUAUCGAUGAACGGUUUAAUGAGUUAGAAACUAGGCUCAUAGAUCUUUAAAUUUUUGGUUAGAUCACCCGUAAUUCCAAGUAAAUUGGGAGAAAAGCUUAGUAACAUUUGACCGAAUGUUUAAGUAAAACUAUAAACGUGAGUUGCGACAACUUUUAUCGACUUUUGUUUAUUAACUCGCUUGACUUCAAGACUUAUGAUACAGUUAUUAUAUGAUUAAAAUACCUUAAACAUGACCUCUUGGGUAUAUUAAGAAUCUCUAGGUUUACUCAAAAAUACGGUUUACAACAUCGUUGAUUUGUUUAACUUGUAAUAUUUGUUAACCACCCUUAUACACCUUUGUAUCACAUAAUACCAAUAUGAUUAACUUCUUAUUAUCUUAAAGUUAAUCUCUUCUAAAUUUACUUCAACUACCUUAUUGCAUGAACUAACAUAUGUGAAGAUGGGUUGUAGCACCCUUCCCCCCUAGAAAUAUUUGUCCUCGAAUGUAAGGGUUUAUGGGGAAUCCAAAUCAUUGUGGAUUCCAAUGGAUAUUUCCGGUCAAUUUUCCCUAAUAAAAUGUUCAUUAGGGAAGCUUGUAAGCAUUUAGCCCAACGUAUGGCCUCAAAAGGCUACACAAUAUUACAGAUAUGUACAUUAUCUAUAUAUCACCAUUUUGUAUUAAGGAAGAUAUUCUCAAGUUAUUGCUUACCUCAUAGAUCUGUUUCAGCUUCUAAUCUAUCUUGUGUCCCACCAGUAUCCUUGUUACCUUCAUUCUAGAAUAGGUAAGGGUAUUUAGACAUCACCUCCUCUUCUGCUUCCCAUGUCAUUUCAUCCAUAUUCUUGUUUCUCUGCAAUACUUUGAUGAGGCUACAUCCUUUCUUCUCAUCUUGCGAACUUCUCGAUCUAAUAUAGCCACUAAAACUUCUUCAUAUGAUAUAUACCUUAUAACUUGUACAUGUUUGAUAGCGACGACCCGAGAAAGGUCUCCAAUAAAUUUCCUCAACAUAGAUACAUGGAAUACCGGGUGGGAAAAUUCCUAUUCAGAUGGCAAUUCUAACUCACAAGCAACGUGUCCAAUUCAUUGAAGAAUUUAUACGGCCCGAUAUACUACGGACUCAGCUUACUUUUCUUCCAAAAACGCAUAACACCCUUCAUCAGUGUGAUCCUCAGGAAAACCCAAUCGCCAACCUCAAACUCCAGAUCACGACGUCGGACAUCGGAAAAAGACUUUUUCUUGCUUUGUGUCUCCCCCAAUCGCUCAUAUAUCACUUUCACCUUCUCAAUGGCUUGGUGAAUCAAAUUUGGCCAAUAUAAUUCUAUUACUAUGAGUUCGAACCAUCCAACUGGUGAUCUACAUUGUCUCCCAUACACUAAUUUGUAUAGAGCAAUUUUAAUACUGGAAUGGAAGCUAUUAUUGUAGGAAAUUUCUAUGAGUGUUUGAUGGUCAUCCCAAUUCCCCUUGAAAUCUAGAACACAUGCUCGUAGCAUAUCUUCAAGUGACCGAAUGGCACGUUCAUCCUCUACAGAUGAAAUGCAGUGCUGAGAUUCACUUGUGUGCCUAAUCUUCUGAGAAGACCUCUAAACGUUAGCCGUAAAUUGAGCUCCUCAGUCUGAUAUAAUAGAUACUGGCACACCAUGAAGCCUAACAAUCUCCUUGAUAUACAACUUCACAUAAUCAUCAGUCGUGUAAGUUGUCUUAAAUAGCAGAAAAUGGGCACAUUUUGUAAGUCGAUCAGCAAUCACCCAGAUAGAUUCAAUCUUAUGAUAAGAGCGAGGUAAUCCAAUAAUGAAGUCUAUAUUAAUCACCUCUCAUUUCCAAGUCGAAAUUUCUAUAUUCUGAAGAAAUCCACCGGGUUUUUGAUGUUCUAUCUUGUUGACAAUUGGCAUACUGGCUACACAUUAUACAAUAGACUUCUUCAUGUUAUCCCACCAAUACUGCUCCUUGACAUCAUGAUACAUCUUUGUGCCGUGUAAGUAGUCUUAACUGGUAGAAAAUGGGCACAGUUUGUAACUCGGUCAACUAUCACCCAGAUGGAGUCAAACUUAUGAUAAGAGUGAGUUAAUCCAAUAACGAAUUCCAUAUUAAUCACCUCCCAUUUCCAGGUCAGAAUCUCUAUAUUCUGAAGCAAUCCACCGGGUUUUUGAUGUUCUAUCUUUACUUGUUGACAAUUGGGACACUGGGCUACAAAUUCUGCAAUAGACUUCUUCAAGUUAUCCCACCAAUAUUGCUCCUUGACAUCAUGAUACAUAUUUGUCGAGACGGGAUGGAUGGAAUAUCGAGAUUUAUGAAUCUCAUUCAUAGUCUUCUCUCGCAACCCUGCCACAUUAGGCACACAUAGUCGGCCUUGGUAUCUCAGUGCCUCAUCUCAUCCGAUCUCAAAAGACAUAAUAAUUUGCAUUGUUGAAUGCUCUCUCUCAAUCAUACUAAGAUACGAUCUUCAUAUUGUUGUGAUAUUACCUCGGCUAGAAAAGAUGAUUUUGAUGUAUUCUGUACACUAAAACCUUUUCCAUAAGAGUCUAACAAUAUGAUUCUCGUAUUGGCUAGCUAAUGAAGCUCUUUAGUCAACCCCUGUCUACCUGCCUCAAUGUGUACUAAGCUUCCCAUUUACUUACCAUCGAGAGCGUCUUCCACAACAUUAGCUUUACCAUGUGGUACAAUAUCUCGGCAUCGUAAUCUUUCGGUAAUUCAAUCCACCUACGCUGCCUCAAAUUCAACUAUUUUUGCUUGAAGAUGUAUUGUAAACUCAUGUGAACUGUGUAGAUUUCAACAUGGACAUCGUAUAAGUAGUGCCUCCAUAUCUUCAGAGCAUAUAUUACUGCAGCCAAUUACAAAUCAUGGGUUGGGUCAUUCUUUUCAUGCUUCUUCAAUUGUUUUGAUGUAUAUGUAAUCACUUUCUGGCGUUGCAUCAAUACGCACCCAAAACCUAUACCAAAGGCAUCACAAUAUACCACACAACCUUCUGUUCCUUCAAGGAGAGUGAUCGCUGGCACAGAUGUCAAUCGAUUCUUCAGCUCCUAAAAACUACGUUCACAAGCGUCAAACCACUGGAACUUAGUUGAUUUCUAUGUUAACUUAGUCAAUGGUACGAUAUAAAGGAAAACCCUUCUACAAAUCACUUGCAAUAUCUCGAUAGCCCUAGGAAGCUGCGGACUUCUGAUGGCGUUGUAGGUCUCGGCCAAUUCUUUAAUGCAUCGAUCUUCUGAGUGUCGAUACUAAUACCCUCAUUAGAUAUAAUAUAGCGAAGGAAUGCUACUGGGUUCAGCCAAAAUUCACAUUUGGAGAUCUUACCAUAUAACUUACGAUCCUGAAGCGUCUGUAAUACUAUCCACAAGUGGCUCGCAUGUUCUGCCUCUGAACGAGAAUACACCAUAUUAUCAUCAAUGAAUACAAUCACGAGCACAUCAAAUAGGGCAUGAAUACAGUAUUCAUGAGAUCCAUAAAAGCUUUUGGGGCAUUUGAUAGCCCAAAUAACAUCAUCAAGAUCUCAAAGUGCCCAUAUCUUGUCUGGAAGGCCAUCUUUGGAACAUCUUUCCCCUUAACCCCCAUUGAUGAUACCCUAAACGUUACUCAAUCUUGGAGAAAUACUUGGCAUCCUGGAUUUGGACAAAUAGCUUGUCGAUCCUUGGAAAUGGAUACUUGUUCUUUAUAGUAAACUUAUAAGCUAUAGAUAAUCGAUACACAUCCUAAACGACCCAUCUUCCUUCUGCACGAACAAAACUGGUGCACCCCAAGGUGAAGUGCUAGGCCUAAUGAAGCCGUUAUCCAGCAAGUAUUUCAAUUGCGCCUUCAACGCUUGCAACUCUACCGGGGCCAUUCUGUAGGGAGGGAUAAAGAUAGGUUGAGUUGCAGGCAACACAUCAAUGAUAAUCUCCCUUUCAUGAGGAAGGCCUUGGAAUUCAUUCGAGAAAACAUUUGGAAAUUCUUUGACCACGGGGAUUAUUUUAGAGUAGGCGGCGUCAUCUCUGUAUCCCUAACAUGAACAAGAUAAUAAAUGUAACCUUUUGAGAUCAUUUUCUUUGCCUUAAGAUAGGAAAUAAACCUACCUCUCGGUUCAGCAAUGUUCCCUUUUCCAUUCAAUGACGGGUUCACUAGGAAACUAAAACGUAACCAAUAUUCGUACGACAGUCAACAUUGCAUAGCAUGAGGCCGACCAGUCCAUUCCUAUUAUCACAUCAAAAUCAACCAUUUCUAACUCAAAAAAAUUUUCCGAGGUUUGACGACAACAAAUCACCAUAGUGAAACCUCUAUAUACCCUUCUAGAAAUCACAAAAUAUCCUAUCGGAGUAGAUAGUGCAAGAGGUUUACUUAUCAAUUCAGUUUCAACACAAAACUUAGCCACAAAGGGUGUAAUAUAUGAUAAUGUAGAUCCCGAAUUAAUCAACGCAUAUACAUCAUAAUAUAACACAAAAAAUAUACCAUUGACAACAUCUGAAGACAACUCGAGUUAAGCAUUGGUUUGAUCUUGAGCACCACUCGAACUCGGCACUGCAACUCUACCUUUACCACGAUGUAUCGAUUGUUAAAAACCAUGUGCUGGAGGUCGAACUAAUAAGGAAGAAGCAGACAUAGAUCUAAUAGGUUGAGACAUACCACCACCUCCUCUGUUAGGACAAUCCCGCAUCAUAUGGUCAGGAUGUCUGCAAGAAUAACACGCAUCAUCACCUCGACAGCACAGUCCAAAGUGGACCUUGCCACAGUGAUCACAAUGUUGUGUUGGGGUUCUCGUCUGACUAGUAUCCCUAUGAUGUUGCGAGCCUUAUGCCCUCGAACUCUAACCUGGACCAGAAUAGGUAAAUCGAUCAUAUCGAGGCCUCCAAAACUAUGGAGGAACACUAGCUACAGGAGGCGCCGAACUCCGCACAGACUGGGGCCUGACGCUGCCUUUUAAUUCAUCAUAAUACCCAGCAAAUCUCUUCCCCUUAUGCUUGCCCCUAUCCUGCUCCCUAUAUGCCCUCUGCCGACGCAUACAAUCCUCUACGAUCUAGGCAUAAGCCUAAAUACAGGAAAAAUCCAUAUCAUUUAGCAAGGAGGCUACCGUGCACUCAUUUGUCAAAUAUGUACUAGAGACGAAUACUUAUAACUCAACUCAACGCACGAUCUAGAUUCUGGAAGAAGGUAACAACCCUAAAUGUCAUGUAGCCUCCUGAUGAUAAAUAUGGCGCACUACAUGUCACGCCCCAAAUCGAGGGGCAUGACCGGCGCCCGACCGGGUAGCCCCACUUAAGCGGACCUGGUUACCUUUUGUUCCCACGUGUUAACCUAAAAUUACACAUUAUUAGUUAACCAAUAAUACUUGAUGCAACUGAAUAUAAACGGAACUCCACUUCUUACAAAACUAUACAUGUUAAUAUUAUCAGCUAGCGUAGGUUACAUAUUACGGCGCCCAUUAAGUACACAUAUAUUACACCUGUUCCAUAACCCACAUCAUUCAAUCUACAGAGCCUCUAAGAUGAAGAAAAUGAUACAAUACUUGCCGCCAACAAGGCCCCGGCUAUAUCUUUACAAAAGGACACAAAACUCCAAGAUACACCAACAAGGAUGGCAUGAGCCACACAAGGCCCCAGAAGGAAAGGGGAUCACCAAGUACUAACACUGCCGAUAAGGAAGGAGGAGCAGCUACGAACGGUGGACUGGAGUGCCUGCAGCGGACCCACCUACAAUCAUAACACGAAUGUAGCGCCCCCAGCAAAAGGGACUUCACUACAUUUGAAUUGUACUGACAUGCAUGAACAAACUCCGUCCUAAGAAAACCCAAGCCAAAAAUGCAUAUGCAAGUGUAAAUAUGAACAACAAUAGUACAACCAAGGAACAACAACCAAUCAUUUCACAGCAAAUGAUACAAUUAGUCAAACAAAGGGGCAAUUAGUGCCCCACAGGUUAUAUACUCUCCUACUGUCUCCUUUCAAAAUUCCACAUUGGUCAUUUCAUGAUUUAUAUACAUUUCAAUAGUGAUAUUGGAUCACAUUUUCCACCCUUAUUACCNNNNNNNNNNNNNNNNNNNNNNNNNNNNNNNNNNNNNNNNNNNNNNNNNNNNNNNNNNNNNNNNNNNNNNNNNNNNNNNNNNNNNNNNNNNNNNNNNNNNNNNNNNNNNNNNNNNNNNNNNNNNNNNNNNNNNNNNNNNNNNNNNNNNNNNNNNNNNNNNNNNNNNNNNNNNNNNNNNNNNNNNNNNNNNNNNNNNNNNNNNNNNNNNNNNNNNNNNNNNNNNNNNNNNNNNNNNNNNNNNNNNNNNNNNNNNNNNNNNNNNNNNNNNNNNNNNNNNNNNNNNNNNNNNNNNNNNNNNNNNNNNNNNNNNNNNNNNNNNNNNNNNNNNNNNNNNNNNNNNNNNNNNNNNNNNNNNNNNUCCACCCUUAUUACCUCGGCCACCCUUAUCACCCCAACCCACACCUUAUUUCACCGUGUUGCGGCGCGCAACCCGACCCCGCCUGACAGGUUUAGUUCAAAAACAACAUACAACACAACAACAAAUUUAAGAAACCAACAAUAGCACAUUGUUAAGAUAGAACCACAACAAGGGUAAUGUAUUUUCAUAACUAGCAAUAACAAUUUCCUCAUGUUCAUCAAUUUGUACACAAUUUGGGGUACCACAACAGUUGUUCACAACCAAUCAUACACGUUGUUCCACAAUAUUUUCAUUUCCACCAUUUCCAAACUCUUUCAAUUACAAGUUUCUCAACUUCUGCCACAAGGUGUUACCGCACGAACAACAGUCACAAGAAUUACACAACAGUCCCCACAUGGAUGCCAAUUACCAAGAAAUUUCACAUACCAAAGCAGGGCGAUUUCACAAGAUUCAGAGUUAGCAAUACAUAUCUGGAGUUAAUUAUCCUCUUUAACCUCUAGUCCAAUUUUCAAAGCAAUCAAGAAGUCAAUCUAGUUCAUGAUCAACACUUAUUCUUUGAAAUUAAACUCAGUUAUACCCAAAUUCCUUGUUUAGCUAGAUUCUAGGAUUUUAGCAACAUGCAUGAGAAUUUUAUGAAGAAUUUCAAAAUAAGUGUAUGGGGUUUCCAUCCAAAGCUUAAAUUUUGAAAUUUAGGGGAAUGGGUUAGGGAUUUUACCUGAGAAAUUAGUAGAGAAGAACAAUGCACCAAGAAAUUUCCGAGCUCCAAUAGUUUUGAAAGACUAGAUGAUGAAGAAUUAGCUUUCUCUCUCAAGAACUCUCUCUCCCUCUCUCUUAUUUUGGCCAGAAAUAUAUUAAAAAGGAGGGAGAAGGUGUUUUAAUAAAAGGUGGGUCGGAUUAAAAUCUUAAAAAAAUACCAGGCGAGCAGAAUCUACAACGCAAUCUGCGGUAGCAGAACUGACACGCAGUCCGCAGAAUAGACCGCAGAUUGGUCCCAAGUUUUAGUCCUCCUAGGGUUGGUAAUGCGGUGGAUAUGCAGUCCGCAUUCGUGUUCUGCGGUCGCAGAAUGCACCACAUAACUGACCUUCAAAAUUCUUCAAGGACCAUAUGCGAUCACUCUGUGGUCCGCAUAUUUAUUAUGCGACCGCAGAUCUGACUGCAUUUUUAACAUCAAAAAUUGGUUGCUCUCUGGAAACUUCUACGGCAGAAAUGCGGUCCGCAUUUCAGAUCUGCGACCGCAUUCUAGACCGCAGAUUGGACCUUUUCUGGAAAAAUUUCGGUUUCACAUUUUUAAGUGCAUAACAGUAAAAAGAAUCCGAUCCAUGUAGGUAGACUCGACUCAAUGAGCUGCUAUCAUUUGAGCACUCAUUCACGGGGCCUUACACUACUCAAGACUCUACUAGACACAACUCAUAAACAACCCUUAGGACAGACUUGCUCUGAUACCAAGUUUCUCACGACCCAAGAUGGAGGACCAUGACUACCACCCGUCUAUAGUUGCCGAGCACCAACGUAUAUUUUAUCUAAAUUGCUAUAUAAUCUUUUAGGGACGACGAGAUCAAUAUAUAUGGUAGACAUAGAUCUUGGACAACCAACAAUGAUAGAUGAUGGCAUGAGCAUACAUAUCAUGGGAUAAUCAAACAAUCAAGAAAAUAAAUAUAAGGUAUGAGCUACCACACUAACAUUAAAGACUAUACAAUAAAAAUUAGCCGACAAGGCAUACCCAACUAUGCAUGAGUCGACUCCUAUCUAUGAGCCUUUAAUGGAACAUACGUGCUACAACAUUGCCGGAACAAAGACCUGACACACCCAUAAUAUCAAUAUGAAAAAGACACACCAAGAACACGGCAAGUCUGGAGAAGGGAUCUAACUGGGCAGCUUACUGCGGUGGGGGAGUUGCAUCUACCCGUCUACCAAGGACUCAACACUACAUGCAACGUCCACAAAUAAAAAGGACGUCGGUACGAAUAAAGUACUGAGUAUAUAAGGGAGGAAAGCAUAAGUACGAGCAGUAAUGUAAACAGGGAUAUAUAAUAUACAACAUGUAACAUUUAGGUACCUCUGAGGGCUACUGACAUGAAAUGCAUGAUACAUAAAUAUAUAUACAUAAACUUUUAACACAUACGCCUCUGUGAGCAUCAUCAUCAUCCUGUCAUUCCCAGCCGUAAUAGGCUCGGUAAAAAUGUACCCGACUAUCAUAAGACUCGGUAGAAUCGUACCCAGCCACGUGGAGCCCGGUAAAACCUAACUGAUCAGUGGUUCCACAAUAGGUAUCAUACCCAACCUACUAAAGCGCGUCUUGGUAGAAUAAAACAGAUACAUAUAUAAUGCAUGACCGACUCAUGGAAUCAUGUUAUAAACCAUUCGUAGUGACGUAAGGUCGACAUCCUUCGUACACAUUUUAGGACUAACUCUUCAUCUUGAAUCUUGUAAGAACCAGGAAGUACCAACAACAUUGAUAACAUAAGAAUAACAUAAGCAACAUCAACAUGAAUUGUUCCAUAAGAAGUCCCACAAGUUAAAACAAGCACCAAACAACAUCAAUGUUAAUAAUAUUGAGCCUUCUAAAACAGUCCACCACCCGAUAACAUUUCUACCAAGCCUUUCAAUAUAUAUUUCAAGAGUUGUAGCUUCAAUGACUUAGCCAAAACUUUGAUAAUCUUAAAUACAUGUAGAGUUAGAAGUAGUUUACCUUUAAACAGAAAGAACAACUCCAAUAACCUUAAUUGUCCACGAAAUGCUACCACAACAAUCAGGAAGUGAAAUUAGCAAUCAAUUAGGGGUUUUCUGUUCUAUAAUCACUCUAGAAGGCUUGAAAUCACCUAAGGUUGAUACUAAUACCUUGAGGGAGAAUUUACAGAACAUAAAACCCUUAAAACAACCUCCAACACAAGCUGGAAUAACACAAAAAUGAGCAACAACAAGAAGAACAAGAAAUUUACUAGCGCCAUGAGAUUCCCGACACUUGGUUUGUAUUGUUUGCCCUUUGUUUGAGUCUUGAAUCUUGAGAGAACCUAGAGAGGGUGUUUCUAGGGUUCUAAGGUCUGAAUAUAGUAAAAAGCCUGAAUCAAAAUUGGUUGGAGGCAUCAUAUAUAUAUAUACAUACAUACAUACAUACAUAUAUAUAUAUAUAUAUAUAUAUAUAUAUAUACCAUAGAGAGGUGUUUGGCAUAGUCUCGCAAAAAAGCUAAUAUCUCUCUACCACGGUAUUGGUUCGAUGAACGGAAUGAUGCGUUAAAAACUAGACUCAUAGAUAUUCAAUUUUGUUGGUAUAUCACCCCAUAAUUCCUAUUAAAUUUGGUGAAAAUCUUAGUAACAUUUGACCAAAUGUGUAAGUAAAAUUAUGAACCUAAGUUGCGAUAACUUUUGUCAACUUUUAUUUCAUAACUCGUUUGACUUCAAGACUUAUGAUGAGGACAUUAUUUGAUUCAAAUAACUUAAAACAUGACCUCUUUAUUAUAUUAAGCAUCUCUAGGUUUACUCGAACAUAUAUUUUAGAACAUCCUUGAUUCAUUUAACUUGGAAUACUUGUUAACCACACUUAUACACCCUUGUAAGAUACAAGAACAAUAGGAUUAACUUCUUAUCUUCUUAAAGAUAAUCUCUUAAUGGAUUUAUAUUGACUACCUUAUGGCAUAAAAUACAUGAAUAUGGGUUAUAACACAAUGCGUAUGAGCCAUUGUUUCCAGCCGAUAUUAGAGGUCGUGCCGACCCAAUGAGUAAGAGCCAUUGUUGCCAACCCACAUUAGAGUUCGUACCGACCCAAUGCAUAAGAUCCAAUAUUGCCAGUGCACAUUAAAGGUCAUACCAACCCAAUUAGCAAGAUCCAGUAUCGCCGGCCCCUACAAAAGGUCGUACCAACGAAAUACGUAAGAGCCUAAGGGCUAGCUUCAAAAUAUAAACUAUAAGGGUCAAUAAGCUCGAGUUGAAACCUGAUUCGAAGAGUGAUCCCAAAAUAGAUAAUUGAAUACGCCUAAGAGCCUAAAAUGCCAGCUUACGUUAACAGGUCAUAGCAACGCAAAACAUAAGAGCCUAAGUCGCCAGCUUGCAUUAAAAGGUCGCACCGACCCGAUGCUUAAGGACCGUUGUCACAAGUCUAUAUAAAGGGUCGUACCGACCUAGAGAAUAAGAGCCUAAGUCGCUAGCUUACAUUAAGUUCCAACCAACCCAAUACAAAUAUAUGCAAAAGGCCUCGUAGAAAACACAAGAAAUGUGCACGCCGAUUCUCUAGCAUUAGGAAACACUAGACAGUAGCAAAAACCAAAAAAACUAAAUUUGAGAUCCACAACAUCGGAUCGAUUGCCGAACAAAUACCACAAGUCAUUCAUAAGGGAAAAUAGUAAAAGGUAAAGAGUUGAUACGAAUACAAAAGAUUCAUAAAAGUAUAAUUUCAAAGCCUACAUCUGGAACCCUUGCGAAGGUAUAAGGAAAAUGAAAACCUUAAUCUAUCACCAGAGCUACGCCUUUAAUGGCCUCCUUAUAGGAUACGCUUUCAGCAGUUUCUGCCAUAUCCUCCUGGUCUCCAGCGGUCUCCUCCCCUUCAGGGACUUCACCUCCUUUUCAUCACCUACUGAAUCGCUGCCCGACUCACUUUAAGGAAGAAGGGUCCAACUUCCUCUUCUAGGUUCUUCACCCUCUCAACUUCGGCAUUUAAAUAAACGCCCCUAUAUAUACAUCUUCGAGCAUCUGGUCUGGGACUUUAAUCGAGCAUAAUACACUACUUGGCUCAGGUUUAGCUCAGCCUUUUCGGACACCUUCCGGGCGCGAGCAUUUGUAGUUGCAGCGUCCUCCUUAUGCAAGGCCACUAGUGCCUUAGACUCAGCCCUAACUUUGGAUAGCAUAUCAAGCAAAUCAACAUGGAGAUGCUUAUUCUUACCACUCUCAGAACCCACCUUUCAAGGCUACGUCUGAUCGAAAUCACUUCCCCUUGGAGGGCAUCUCUUUCAGAGACUAUCUCACUCAAAUGCCACUUAAGCUUGAGAAUUUCGGAGUCCCUAAUCCGGAGCUAAUCGACCCGAAUGUAUUAAAAUAUGGAAGUCGUUCUGACGUACAGAUAAAAACAUACAUGAGUUAUGUAACCUAUUCAGUAAGAUGAGCCUUUUCUUGGGACGCCACCUCAAAGAAAUACCGAAGGAUAUAGAGUUCUUCCUCCCUCUUGGACGAAAGGGCUCUGAGCUCGUCGGCCUCUGAGGUAAGCUUUUUAUGAAUGCCCUCACAGUGAGUCAAUUUGAUUUUAAGAUUGGGGAACGUUUGGUCAUAAAGCACCUUGGCCUGGAACCAUGUAGCAAAGAAGGUUAGAAGGGAAAAAAUUGGGGCACCAAGCAAAAUUUACAGGUAGUUUACCUGCUCGUAUAGCCUUCUGAUCUCAGUAAAAAUAAGCAAAAUAUCAGACUCACAAAAGGCUUUUCGAAUGCACCUCUAUCACCACCAGGAAUCCCCACGCCGAGAGAAUGUACAUUGGGGAUAUUCUGAAUCUCUCUUAGAGGAAAGGCCGAAUCAGGAUGGGAAUCACUUGCUACAAUAACCUCGACUAGGUCAGUCAAGGGUGCCCCUGGCCUCUGAAGAACUUCAGAAUUGGGCUCCCCCGGAUUCCUGCCAAGCGUACCUUGACUCGAGGAAAUUUUUGGCGACAAAUCCUUGCAAGCCUCUUUGGCCCGAGGUACGACAACAACGGAAUUGUUCCGCGAUUCGAAGGUCGGCAACUUAACAGUGUGAGAGACAUGAUCAUCCUUCCUCUCAGCUCCAACUCGGAGACUCCCAGACAUUUUUGGAAUUAAGACCGUUGAACCGUCCUUAUGGUCUUCCUAUCUAGUUUUCAUGAAUUUCUAACAACAAGUUGGUUAUCCCCUCGUCUUUUCCUCUUUAUCAGGCAUUUGAGCACCCGCUUCCUUAGGCAGUUUUUCUAUCAUCAAGAAUGCCUUCCCAAGACUUGUCCAAAUACAAAAACAAGCAUGGAACGACCUCUGUAAAAAUGAAACUAUAGCAGAAAUUGAAGUCCCACCAUGAUCUUUGGCUUCCCAUCGAACCCUGGAUAAAUCCCGCAACACGUGCUCUGCGUAUGAGAAAAUCGAUUCCAGUUCGGCUACCCAUCCUAAAAGAUCCCUUACCGCUUCAGAGUACACCACGCUGUAUCAAUGGAGGAAGUUAGUCCACAAAAGGAAUGUAUCCAAAAGAAAGAGAUUAGCAGUUACAUGUGUAUGUCUACUUACACUUCAUGUUGCCUCUUUGGGGGAAUGACAUCCUCUCUAUGGGAAUCAAGUCCGAAGUCCUAACAUGUACAAAAUGACUCAUCUACCCCUAUUCCUAACCUCUUCGAUGAUUGAAAAUAGGGCCCUCGAGGCCCAAAAACGGAGCUUUAUUAGGCCCCCGUGAAUGAGUCGAGGACUAUAUUCUAAUAAAGUGGUAAAGGUGCAGGGCAUCGCGUCGAUCAUAUUCAUGUAAUGUCUGGUCAUAUGAAUGAUACGCUAGAAUGAUAGAUGAAUUUAGUAGAGUGUCACUUGAUAUUUAUCACAAAAGUCAUGGAUCACGGGGUCUAUCUAAGGCAUAAAGGGCACCGCUGGGCCGAGGGUAAAUGGAUAAGUAUAUACACUAAGGAAGUCGACCUUAUAUGUCAUUACAACCUCCCCUCGAGAAAGAACCUCCACCAGCACUGCAUGUCCCCACCGACAUUCAAUUUUCACCCUUUUAAUGUUUGUUAUAAAACUAAUAUACCGGUAUGCGGGUUUGCAUUGUCCGUCUUCGAAGGUCUCUUAAUCUUAAAAUUAAAGGUCGUCUCAAAGGCCCGUGGAACACACUCUUCCGUGUUAGGGAACGCUGCUGCUUUAGCCUCAGAACAGAGCGCAGAAGAGGAAGGCACAUUUCAUUGAGGGAAGGAGGCAAAAGUGUUCGCUAUUUUAAUCAGAGGAUAACAAAGAAGAAACUAAAGAUCACGUUUCGGUAAAACGCAUGGCAGAGAGACCAAAAGAUAGCCAACCACCAUAAUUAAUUCAAAUAUUUUAAUGAUUGUAUCACACGACCUUUGGAAGCCCCGUUUAUUGUAUCAGUUGCCUGGAAGAGCACAACUAUUUACUUCGAUAGAGGCACCAAAGGGAUAAGAUCUUGAGGACGUCUCUCUUUGUUUUACUCUGAGAAAUGCAGGGACUAUCUAUAUACAGCUCUCGGGAAGACCGAUUUUACAAUUGGCAAGGCAUUACGCAAUCUUGCCUCGAAGGUCCCAGAUGAUAGCCCGGGGUUUGAUGCCUCAGGGGAGUCUUCACGCCUGAUAUCAGGGCAGAAUGGACCAAUGUUUAUCGUUGAUAAGCGGGAAGUUCCCUAGGAGUUGUAUCUUCUAACAAACGCCUGCGCAAAUAGUGAUAGUGUACACUGGGCUGGUUGAGUGGUUAUAGCAUCGACUAUAUGUAGUAAUUACACACGCGUUUGUACUAUGUUGGGUUUCCCCUUCAUAUAUAAAGGGGACCCUUGCCAUUUCGGAGACAUAUGAUUCUCAAUAAUCAAUACAAGAACAUUCUUUCUUCUCUCUAACAUAACAUACUCUCUUGAUCUUAUUACUUGAAUUUAUUACUUAUUUUCAUCAUGUUCUAUUUAUUGUACUUAGUUUCCUAAACAACUAGCAUAAAAUAGAUCACAUAUUAUUAGAAGUACAAAAUCAAAUCUUAUUGUAGUUACCAUUUUCAAGGUACAGAGCUACCCGAUGGGAAAUGUUCGAUCUGCUCAUGUUGAUCAUGAUCCAUUCGAGGUCUACUUAUGGCAAUUGCAGUUGUUGCUCCUUAUAUUGGUUGGUACUUGAUUUGCUUUUCACCUAUCUUCGGUUCCACGUGUCACGCUAUUGUUCGAUCAUUUAUUAUGAACUAAAUUUACCCUCUACAAUAUUUGAAAAGUAUUUAUAUAAUUUGUUAAAUUUAUUUAUAUUUUAAUAUGGGUACAUGAAUAAAUACAAUUAUCUUAAGGGGAAAAUGACACUAUACAGCCGUUCUCAAUAUAAUAUCCAGAAAUAUACUUUUUUAUAUGUACUUAUUAUGUAUGUUAUAUACAAAAAUUAUACAAAUUUUAUGCACUUUUUCUGCUACAAAAUGUAAAUAGUUUCUGGCGCGGGAUAAAGGUGAAAGAAUCCCCGUUUUUAAUACUAUUUCUUAAAAAUACUUAUUCAUAUAAUGGAUAUGCCCAUAUGUUUUGGUUUUGAUAUUGUUUUGCCGAGUUCCUUUUUCUUAUGAUUCAAACAUUAUUUAACUAAGAUGUGUGUCACGACCCAAACUGGAGGGCCAUGACUAGCACCGGACCAUACUUGUCGAGCACCAUCAUACAUUUUAUCUAACCUUCUUUAUUAACUUUUAGGGUUGACGAGAUCAAUAUAAAUGGUAGACAUGGAUAAUGGACAGCCAACAAUAAAAUAUGAUGGCAUGAACCUACAUAACAUGAGAUGACCAGACAAUCAAGAAACCAUAUAUAUAAAUAUAUAUAUAUAUAUGGUUCGACCUACCAUGCUACCAUGAAAGACUAUACAACAAAAUCCAGCCGGCAAGGCAUACCAAACUAUACAUGAGUUGACACCUGUCUAUGAGCCUCUAAAGGAACAUAAGUGNNNNNNNNNNNNNNNNNNNNNNNNNNNNNNNNNNNNNNNNNNNNNNNNNNNNNNNNNNNNNNNNNNNCGUAAACAUACAUAACAUGGGGUGGCCAGACAAUCAAGAAACUAUAUAUAAGGUACGAGCUACCAUGAUACCAUGAAAGACUAUACAACACAAGCCAGCCGACAAGGCAUACCAUACUAUACAUGAUUCGACACCUGUCGACUCAUGUAUAGCCUGAACAGGGCCCAGACAUACCCAUAAUGUCUAUAACAAAAAAUGCAUACCAAGACCACGACAAGUCCGGAGAAGGGAUCUCACCAAUCACCGCUGAAUGAGACAGCCUACUGUGGUGGGGGAGCUGCACAUGUCUGUCUAUCAGGACCUGCAGCACGACAUGGAACGUCCACAAAUAAAAGGUUGUUAGUAAGAAUCAAUUACUGAGUAUUUAAGACAGGGAACCAGAAAUACGAAAAGUAAUGUAAGCAUGGAAAGAGAAUAGAAAAGUUGUAACAUCUGAGUACCUCUGAGGGCUACUGACAUGAAAUGCAUGAUACAUAUGUAUAAAUACAUAAACUUUUAAAACAUACGCCUAUGUGGUCAUCAUCAUCAACAUAUCGUACUCGGCCAUAAUAGGCUCGAUAAAAAACAUUUCCAGGCAUCAUAAGGCUCGGUAGAAUCGUACCCUGCCACGUGGAGCUCGGUAAAACCCAACUGAUCUGUGUUUGCACAAUAAGUGUUGUACCCGGCCGACUAUAGUGCUGCUUGGUAGAGUAAAAUAGAUACAUAUAUAUAAUGCAUUAUUGACUCAUGGAAUCACAUUCUAAACCUUUUGAAAUGACGUAAGGUAGAUAUCCAUUGUACACUUUGUUAGGACUAACUCUUCACCAUGAAUCAUAUAAGAAUCAUGAAGUACCAACAACAUAGAUAACAUAAGAAUAAGAGAAGCAAUAACAUCAAUCGUUCCGUAAGAGGGGAAACAAUGUAAGUACUGCUAGCUUCUAAGAGUGGAGUAUCUUUUGAAGCUCGUUUAUUACAUUAUGUACAAUUGGAGUCGUGCAAAAGAAGGAAAAGGAUAAACUCACAUACUUUGUAUAUAGUUCCCUAAUCUCAAGCUAUGCAAUUGUGACAAUUCCUUAGUCUACAAUAAGAGAGACGAUACUAUCGUUAUCGUUUAAGCGUCGUAACUAUUAUGUACCGACCACAACCUAUUUUACGAUGAAACGGACAGCAACUCCCCUAUUAAUAUGAAUUCCCACAAGUCAACCCAAUCACAAAACAACCCAAAUAAAAUCAAUGUUAAUCAUAUUGAACCUCCCAAAACAAUCCACCAACCAAUAACAUUACUACCAAACAUUUCGAUAUAUAUAUUUCACAAGUUCUAGCUUCAAUAACUUAACUGCAACUUGGAUAAGCUUAAAUAGAUAUAGAGUAAGAGGUUAUUUACCUUUAUGAAAAAAGAAAAACUCCAAUUUGAUCUUAAUUUUCCAUGAAAUAUUCCUCUAAUGCUGCCACAACAAAAAGAAAGCGAAACUUGCAAUCAAUUAGUGUUUUUCGGCGCUAGAAUCACUUUAGAAGGCUUGAAAUCACAUAGGAUUGAUAUUAAGAAUGUGAGGGAGUACUAUAGAACAUAAACCCAUCAAAACAGCCUCCCAAACGAGCUGGAACAACACAAAAAUUAGCAACAACAAAAAGAACAAGAGACUUACUAGCGCCACGGGAUUCCCGACACUUGAUUUGUGUUGCUUGCCCUUUGUUUGGGACUUGAAUCUUGAUUGAUCCUUGAAAUGGUGUUCCUAGAGUUCUAAGGUAUGAAAAUAAUGAAAUGAAAGGACUUAAAAUGGGUUGGAGGCGUCCUAUAUAGAUCUAAAUGUCUUAUACUGCCUAAGUGGGCCCCAUAGAGAGGUGCUUGGCGCAGUCUCACAAAAACGCGAAUAUCUCUCUACUCCGAGAUCGUAUCCACAAACAGUUUAAUGCUUUGGAAACUAGACUCAUAGAUCUUCAAUUUUGUGGUUAUAUCAAUCCAUAAUCAAAGUAAAUUGGGAGAAAAGCUUAGUAACAUUUUACCUAAUGUUUAAGUAAAAUUAUGAACCUAAGUUGCGCUAACUUUUGUCGCUUUUUGUCUCAUAACUCAUUUUCUUUCAAGGCUUAUGAUACGGAUAUUAUCUGAUUCAUAUACUUUAAAACACUACUACUUGAGCAUAUUAAUCACCUCUACAUUUAUUCUAAAAUACGGCUGACAACAUCCUUGAUUCGUUUAACUUCUAAUACUUGUUAACCACCCUUAUUCACCUUUGUAUCAUUUAUGACCAAUAUGAUUAAAUUCUUAUCAUCUUAAAGAUAAUCAUUUCAUGGAUUUAUAUCGACUACCUUAUGAUAUGAGCUACCAUACGUGAAUAUGGGUUGUAAUACCCUCCCCCUCAAGAACAUUCUUCCUCGAAUGUAAGGGUCUAUGGGGAGUCCAAAUCAUCGUGGAUUCCAACGGAAAUUGUCGAUCAAUUUCCCCAAUAAAAUGGUCAGUAGAAAAACCCUAAAGCACUUAAGCCCAACAUAUGGUUGGUUACACAAAGCAUUAUGGAUAUUUAUAUCUACAUAUCACCAUUUUAUAUUAAGGAAGAGUAUUCUCAAGUUAUUGCUUACCUUAUAGAGCCGUUUCACCUUUCAAUGUAUCCUGUGUUCCACCACCAUCCUUGUUAUAUUCAUUCUGGAAUAGGUAAGGGUAUUUACACUUCAUCUCCUCCUCUUCUUCCCAUGUAAUUUCUUCCAUUUUCUUGUUCCUCCACAAUACUUUGAUGGUAGCUACAUCUUUUGUUCUCAGCUUGCGGACUUGUCGAUCUAAUAUAGCCACUAGCACUUCUUCAUAUGUUAAAUCCUCUGUAACUUGUACAUCUUUGAUAGGGACAACUCAAGAAGGGUCUCCAAUGCAUUUUCUCAACAUAGAUACAUGAAAUACCAGGUGGACAAUUUUCCUCUGUAACUUGAACAUCUUUGAUAGGGACGACUCGUGAAGGAUCCCCAAUACAUUUCCUCAACAUAGAUACAUGGAAAACCGUAUGGAAUAAUUCUAAUUCGGAUGGAAAUCUAUCUCAUAAGCAACAUGUCCAAUUCGUCGAAGAAUUUUAUACGGACCGAUAUACCUUGAACUCAGCUCGCCUUUAUUCCCAAAAUGCAUAACACCCUUCAUUGGUGAUAUCCUCAGGAAAACCCAAUCACUAACCUCAAACUCCAGAUCACGACGUCGGACAUCGGAAUAAAACUUUUGCCUGCUUUGUACCGUUGAAAACCCAAUCUCUAACCUCAAACUCCAGAUCAUGACGUCGGACAUCGGAAUAAAACUUUUGCCUGCUUUAUGCCGUCCUCAAUCGUUCAUGCAUCACCUUCACCUUCUCAAUGGCUUGGUGAAUCAAAUCUAGACCAUUUAAUUCUAUUUCACCGACUUCGAACCAUCCAAAUGGUGAUCUACAUCACCUCCCGUAUAGUGCCUCGUAUGGGGCCAUUUUAAUACUGGAAUGUUAGAUAUUAUUGUAGGAUAAUUCUAUGAGUGGAAGAUGGUCAUCCAAAUUCCCUUAAAAUCUAGAAAACAUGCUCGUAGCAUAUCUUUCAAUGUAUGAAUGGUACGUUCAGCCUAUCCUCAGUUUGCGGAUGAAAUGAAGUGCUGAGAUUCACUUGUAUGUCUAAACCCUUCGGUAAAAUACCUCCAAAGGUUAGCCAUAAAUUAAGCUCCUCGAACUGAUAUAAUAGAUACCGGCACACCAUGAAGCCUAACAAUCUCCUUGAUACACAACUUCGCAUAAUAUUGGGCCGUGUAUGUCGUCUUAACUGGAAAAAAAUGGGCACAUUUUGUAAGUCGGUCAAUUAUCACCCAGAUGGAGUCAAAGUUAUGAUAAGAUCGAGGUAAUCCAAUAAUGAAGUCCAUAUUAAUCACCUCCCAGGUCGGAAUCUCUAUAUUCUGAAGCACUCCACCAGGUUUCUGAUGUUCUAUCUUUACUUGUUGAAAAUUGGGACCUUGGGCUACAUAUUCUGCAAUAGACUUCUAUAUGUUAUCCCACAAAUACUGCUCCUUGACAUCAUGAUACUUCUUUGUCGAGCCGGGAUGGAUAGAAUAUCAGGAUUGAUGAAUCUCAUCCAUAAUCUUCUCUCGCAACCCUGCCACAUUAGGCACACAUAAUCGGCCCUGGUAUCUUAGUGACCCAUCUGCUCCAAUCUGAAUAGUCGUAAUCUUACAAUGCUGAAUGCUCUCUCUCAAUCAUACUAAGAUAGGAUCUUUAUAUUACCGUGCUUUUACCUCGACUACCAAAGAUGAUUCUGAAGUAUUUUGUACAGUAACACGUGCGUCAAUAGAGUCUUACAAUCUGAUUCUCAUAUUGGCUAAAUGAUGAAGCUCUUUAGUCAACCCCCACCUACCUGCCUCAAUAUGUACUACCCUUCCCAUUGACUUACGGUUGAAAGCGUCUGCCACAACAUUGGCUUUACCAGGAUGAUACAAUAUCUCGACAUCGCAGUCUUUCAAUAAUUCAAGCCACUUACGUUGCCUCAAAUUCAACUCUUUCUGCCUGAAGAUGUAUUUUAAACUCUUGUGAUAUGUGUAGAUGUCAACAUGGACGCCGUAUAAGUAGUGCCGCCAUAUCUUCAAAACAUAUAUUACUGCAGCCAAUUCAAAAUCAUGGGUUGGAUAAUUCUUUCAUGCUUCUUCAAUUGUCUUGAUGCAUAAGAAAUCACCUUUCCACGUUGCAUCAAUACGCACCCCAAACCUAUACGUGAGGCAUCACAAUAUACCAUGGUUACAAAUCAUGGGUUGGAUAAUUCUUUUCAUGCUUCUUCAAUUGUCUUGAUGCAUAACCAAUCACCUCCCCACACUACAUCAAUGCACACCCCAAUCCUAUACAUGAGGCAUUACAAUAUACCACGUAGCCUUCUAUUCCUUCAGAGAGAGUGAGUACUGGUGCGGAUGUCAAUCGAUUCUUCGGCUCCAGAAAACUACAUUCACAAGUGUCAGACCACUGCAACUUGGUAGCCUUCUGUGUUAACUUAGUUAAAGGUGUUGAUACAGAGGAAAACCCUUCUACAAACCGCCUAUAAUAUCUUGCUAGCCUCAUGAAGAUGCUUACUUCUGAUGGUGUUGUAGGUCUCGAACAAUUCUUUACUACAUUGAUCUUCUGAGUAUCGACACUAAUACCCUCAUCAGAUAUCACAUGGCCAAAGAAUGCUACUGAAUUCAGCCAGAAUUCACAUUUGGAGAGCAUAGCAUAUAACUUAUGAUCAUGAAGCAUCUGUAAUACUAUCUGCAAGUGGCCCGCAUGUUCCGCAUCCGAUCGAGAAUACACUAAAAUUUCAUUAAUGAAUACAAUCACGAACACAUAAAGACAGGGCCAGAAUACAGUAUUCACGAGAUCCAUAAAAGUAGUUGGGGCAUUUGUUAGACCGAACGAUAUCACCAAGAACUCAAAGUCCCCAUAUCUUGUCCGGAAGGCCGUCUUUGGAAUAUCCUUCUCCUUAACCCUCACCUGAUGAUAUCCUGAACGUAAGUCAAUCUUGGAGAAAUACUUGGCACCCUGGAGUUGGUCAAACAUGUCAUCAACUCUUGGAAGUGGAUACUUGUUCUUUAUAGUGAACUUAUUCAACUGUCGAUAGUCAAUACACAUCUGUAAUGACCCGUCUUUCUUCCGCACGAAUAGGACUGGCGCACCCUAAGAUGAAGUGAUAGGCGUAAUGAAGCCCUUAUCCAGAAAUUCCUUUAACUGCACCUUCAACUCUUGCAACUCUACCGGGGCCAUUUAUUACAUAUGGGAUAGAGAUCGGUUGAGUGUCACGCAACACAUCAAUGCUAAACUUAAUCUCCCUUUUAGGAGGAAGGCCUGUGAGUUCAUUUGGGAAGACAUCUCGAAAUUCAUCGACCAUGGGGAUUGAUUGUAUAGUAGGCGGCUUCACCUUCCUAUCCCUAAUGCGAACGAGAUGAUAAAUGUAACCUUUUGAGAUCAUUUUCCUUGCCUUAAUAUAGGAAAUAACCUUUCGGUGUAGCAAUGUUCCCCUUCCAUUCAAUGACGGGUUCAUCGAGAAAUUGAAACCUAACAAUCUUCGUAUAACAAUCAACAUUUGCAUAGCAUUAGGACAACAACUCCAUUCCCAUUAUCACAUUGAAAUCAACCAUUUUUAACUAAAAUAAAUUUGUCGAGGUUUGACGACAACAAAUCAUCACCGUGCAACCUCUAUAUACCCUUCUAGCAAUCAUAUAAUCUCCUAUUCGAGUAGAUACCCGGAUCAAUCAGCGCGUAUGCAUCAUAAGAAAACAUAGACAGUAUACCUAUAAUAACAUCUUGAGAUGACUGAAGAUCCUACGACCUACUAGAGCAUAGGUUCGACUUUGAGCACCACUCGAACUCGGCCCUACACCUCAACCUCUACCACGACCUGUCGACUGUCGAAAACCCCGUGCUGGAGGUAGAACUUAUGAGGAAGAACAAGACACAAACUCAGUCGGUUGAGCUAUACCAUCACCUCAUCUAUUAGGACAAUCCUGCAUCAUAUGGCCAGGGGAUUUGAGUGUGAGGUACGGUUCAGUUCCGAAUGGAAAGUCACUAAAAUUCUUAAGCAGCUCGGGCAGUUGCAUGUGAUAUAAGAAGCGACCCUCAGAUGAUAGAGAAAAAUGGUAUUACUAUUCUAGUGAUUUGACGGGAGUAUACGUUCAGUAAGAGGGGAAGGUGAUNNNNNNNNNNNNNNNNNNNNNNNNNNNNNNNNNNNNNNNNNNNNNNNNNNNNNNNNNNNNNNNNNNNNNNNNNNNNNNNNNNNNNNNNNNNNNNNNNGUUCAGUAAGAGGGGAAGGUGAUGUAAACUGAUAACAAUUCGGUGGGAUUGCGGCAGUUUCCUAUUGGACCGACUGUUGGCAAUUGAGUCUGUCGAUGGCAUAGGGAAAUCUUAGAAUAUCUUUCGUGGAACGAAUGGGCACUUGAUGUGUAAUAAUUAUUCAUAUGGCGGAAUAUGGGACCAGGUACAGUAAUUUCUAUGUUAUAUGGAGCUAGAGACUGGGAGUUCUCUGAUGCAGUCUAUGUAGUGGUUGUGGAUCGUGUGCAUUGGCACGGCAAGCGGCUACGGUUGGGAAGCCCGAAUGGAUCUUUAUUUGGUUAUAUGUUAGAUUUUGGACAUGAUAUUGGGGGUAGACUGGUUGCCUUAGUGUUGGGUUAUUCUAGACUAUUGUGCUAUGGGAUAGGUCAAAAAAAUGCCAUAGGUUGCGUGGCGAGGUGCAUCAGACUAUGUUCUAGCGGAAUGGUUGUGUUUCAAGGACCAACAGACGGCUGGUAGGAGUUGCUUUCCUUAAUUUGGCCUUUGAGGCAGGAGGCAGUGUACUGGUUUCUACCAGUGAUUCAGUUCCGGCAUUAAGGGACUUGUUGGAUGCAUGUUCCAGUCUGAGUCGACUCGAUUGGCUCUGAAUUGUAUUGUCGAUGGAUAAGUUGAAUCGACCAUUUCUGAGCUAAUCAGCGAUCUGGAGAGAUCUAUGAGUUUUUUUCUACGUUGCGAGACGUUAUGAGUUACGGACUAUGGGCACAUAUGGUGCGAUGCUUUCGAGAUUCAUAGUGGAAGUUGAGUUUUGUAGCUUACACCGCCAUAGGUAGGUAUGAUUAUGCGUUCAGUGUGCUUACGACCGAUACUCGGUAUUCUAUUACAAUGAGCAGAUUUGGCUCGAUGUGCAUCUCCCUAGGUGAGAUAUUUGAGUGGAUCGGGUGGCACGCCGCCACAAGGUAUGUUAUCUGGAUCGGGUUGCGCACCGCAACAGUGUAACGUUGAGGAUUGUUUCCGUGUGUUACUUUGUAUGCCUUGUUUCCUGAUUUCUGAGGAAAGUCCGUAUUGGGAGUUGCUCGGCGAAUAGCGGAUCAACUGGGUUCUUUUAGGAUUUAAUGGUGUAUAUAACUCACUUCACCGUGGGUGUGAUGGAUUGCUUGGGUUCACACAUCAAUCUGUGCGUGGUUGUCAAGUUUGAGUAUAGCGACUCGAGGUGCUUCAUGUGGAAUGGUAUUGGAUGAGAUCGCGCAUCAUAGCGAGGGUAUGUGGAGAUUAGACCCUUCGGAAAAGGUUCAGUUAUUCUAUUUCUAUGAUGUGGGAUGGGGUCCCAGCCUUGUGUUGUAGUGGUAUUGGUGAGCUCAAGGUACAGCUUUUUGUUUGAGUCAUUUUCAUGACUUGAGUAUGUUCAGACCGUCUCUUAUUGGUGUGUGUGUUAUGUAAUUUGUGGGCCGUAUUGAAGUUUCAUGUCACCAAGAUGGUGUGUUUGGUUAGAAGAGACCUUUGGGGUCAUUAAUGGGUAUGAACGGAUUUGGUUUUGGCUUGAUUGGAAGGUUAAUAUCGAGUUUCGGCUCAAAUAUCUAUUGUCGUAUUGGUCAAAGGGGAAAAAAUGUCUUCGUGAAUAGUUGAUAUGAGAAAUGACUAUGGUCUACUGCGUGCUCAUUAUCAUCGAUAGAGUAUAGCAGUGUUGGAAUAAGACUCCAUAUAAUAAGGGGUAAAACAGCCGGUUUAGGCUUAUUCUGAGUAUAAAUCUGAGGUUCUGAUCUUGUGUAUGGUUUCGGAGAUGCAAUGCGGUUCUAUGGUUAUGGUCUAGAUGGACUGUGAAAUUUUAGUUGUAUUGUAAUAUCGGGCCUAUGUGAGCUAGGGUGACAUGGGAUCACCCCGGGUAUAUGUUUAGUAAGGUCAUUCGGAUAUUGGUUGGCCCUAGUACAACUCUGAGAACGCUCGAGGACGAGCGUUUGUUUAAGUUGGGGAGGAUGUAAUGAUCUGACCCGUCGUCCUGUGAAUAAUCGCCCCGUUUUCCCUGUUUUAUGUUUCUAUAUGUUUAAUUAUAUGUGUUUUGAGAGUUUGAAGAAAUUCGGAUGGAGUUUGGGUAGAAGUGAGACAAUUAGUCUCUUUAUGAGAAGGUUAGUUUAGAAAAGUCAAAUGAAUAUUGACUUAUUAGUUAGAGGGUUCAGAAUGGAUUUCCAAUGAUUCGACUAGUUUCGGAUGGUGAUUUGUGACUUAGGAGCGAAAUCAGAACUGAAUUUGGAGGUCCGGUGUAGAAUUAGGCUUGAAAUGGUCAAGUUAGAAAUUUGGCGAAGUCCGGUUGAUAGGUGAGAUUUUUAUCCGGGAAUUACGAUAGUUACAGUAGCUCUGUUAGGUUAUUUUUGAUAUGUGUGCAAAUUUUCAGAUCAUUCGGAGGUGUUUAGGUCGGGUUUUGGAGCAANNNNNNNNNNNNNNNNNNNNNNNNNNNNNNNNNNNNNNNNNNNNNNNNNNNNNNNNNNNNNNNNNNNNNNNNNNNNNNNNNNNNNNNNNNNNNNNNNNNNNNNNNNNNNNUUUUUAGUUUAACUUAGGCUUGAAUCCGUGGAAAUUGGGAGAUUUUGAUGUUUAUGGUGGCAUUUUUAUGCUACGAAAAAGAUUUAAUGGAGUAUUAAGACAAAUAUGUGCUUUUGGUUGAGGUUCCGAGGGCCUCGGGGUGAACUCCGGUGGUCAAGAGAGAGUUUUAACUUGAAAAUGUGCAGCAGAAAAUGCAGCAGCGGUGCAGGCCUAUUUUGGCCUUCGCGAUCGCGAAGGAAGGCUCGCAUUUGCGUAAAGUUAAUGGCCUAAAGCAUCAUGUUCGUGUACAUCAGAUCGCGUCCGUGUAGUGUUGGUAAGUGAAGCAUCGCGUUCGCGUGGGAGGUAACGCGUCGCGUAGAAGGGCCUGGGGUCCCUGCCUGGUUUUGAUCAUCGCGAAUGUAUGGCUUGGACCGCGUUCGCAUAGAAGGGAGGACUCAAAGCAUCGUGAUCGUGAUGGUGCUUCCGCGUUCGCGAGGAGAAAUUGGAGGGUUAUCGCAAUUCGUUUAUCGCGAACGCGUGGCUUGGAUCGCGUUCGCGUAGGGUUAAAUCUGGGCGACUGAUGGGUUUUAUAUUUUAUUUCAUCCGCGAACCAAACAUAUUUUCCACCAUUGUUAAGCAACCAAAAGAGAUUUUUGAGCGAUUUCAAGUGGGUUUUCAGCAGGUAUCGAUUGGAGGUAAGUCUCUUGGCUUAAAAACAUCAUUUUUAGGAAGAAUCAACCUCAACUAUCGAUUGGAGGUAAGUCUUUUGGCUUAAAAACAUCAUUUUAAGGAAGAAUCAACCCCAAAUUCACUUAAAUUUUGUAGAAAUUGUGAAGAACUAUGGCUUAGUUUUUAGAAACGAAUUUUGGGGAUUUGAAGGGUCAAACGGACUCUGUUUUUGGUGAACUUUAUAUGUACGGACUCGUGGCGAGACGAGGAAUCCAAAGAUGUAAAUUUCAGAAUUUUUCGAGAAGUGGGCCUGGGGCUCGGGUUCUACCAACUUCGUGAUUUUUAACGUUUUUCGAAUAAUUUCAAUUGGCUUAUGUUUAUUUAGCCUAUAAUAACCUGUUCGUUGUGGUUUUGAAUAGAUUCGACGCUCGUAGGAGAAGAUUUAAAGGGAAAAAGCAUUGCAGAUCAGGCUACGACCGGUUAAAGGUGAGUAGUUGGUAUAUAUGAUGGCCUGGGGGUUCGAAACCCCGUCUUAUCACAUCGUGACGCUAUGUUAGGGCGUGA
rnacentral:lncRNA from 1 species